UAGGGAAUCUUCCGCAAUGGGCGAAAGCCUGACGGAGCAACGCCGCGUGAGUGAAGAAGGAUUUCGGUUCGUAAAGCUCUGUUGUUAGGGAAGAAUGAUUGUGUAGUAACUAUACACAGUAGAGACGGUACCUAACCAGAAAGCCACGGCUAACUACGUGCCAGCAGCCGCGGUAAUACGUAGGUGGCAAGCGUUGUCCGGAAUUAUUGGGCGUAAAGCGCGCGCAGGUGGUUUAAUAAGUCUGAUGUGAAGGCCCACGGCUCAACCGUGGAGGGUCAUUGGAAACUGUUAAACUUGAGUGCAGGAGAGAAAAGUGGAAUUCCUAGUGUAGCGGUGAAAUGCGUAGAGAUUAGGAGGAACACCAGUGGCGAAGGCGGCUUUUUGGCCUGUAACUGACACUGAGGCGCGAAAGCGUGGGGAGCAAACAGGAUUAGAUACCCUGGUAGUCCACGCCGUAACGAUGAGUGCUAAGUGUUGGUCUCAUAAGAGAUCAGUGCUGCAGCUAACGCAUUAAGCACUCCGCCUGGGGAGUACGACCGCAAGGUUG
rnacentral:rRNA from 1 species